GGACUACAAGGGUAUCUAAUCCUGUUUGCUCCCCACGCUUUCGUGCCUCAACGUCAGGAAUGAGCCAAGAAGCUGCCUUCGCCAUUGGUGUUCCUCCUGAGAUCCACGCAUUUUACCGCUACUCCAGGAAUUCCACUUCUCUCUCUCAUCCUCUAGCAUGCCAGUUUUCAUCGCAAUACUCCAGUUAGGCCGGAGCCUUUAACAACGAACUUAACAUACCGUCUACGCACCCUUUACGCCCAGUGAUUCCGAAUAACGUUUGCACCCUUCGUAUUACCGCGGCUGCUGGCAC
rnacentral:rRNA from 1 species